GAUGAACGCUGGCGGCGUGCCUAACACAUGCAAGUCGAACGGAGAAUUUACGCUGAUGAAGCUUCGGCAGAUUCUUGUAAAUUCUUAGUGGCGGACGGGUGAGUAACGCGUGGGCAACCUGCCUCAUACUGGGGGAUAACAGCUGGAAACGACUGUUAAUACCGCAUAAGCGCACGGUAUCGCAUGAUACAGUGUGAAAAACUCCGGUGGUAUGAGAUGGGCCCGCGUCAGAUUAGCCAGUUGGCAGGGUAACGGCCUACCAAAGCGACGAUCUGUAGCCGGCCUGAGAGGGCGGACGGCCACAUUGGGACUGAGACACGGCCCAAACUCCUACGGGAGGCAGCAGUGGGGGAUAUUGCACAAUGGAGGAAACUCUGAUGCAGCGACGCCGCGUGAGUGAAGAAGUAUUUCGGUAUGUAAAGCUCUAUCAGCAGGGAACGAAAGACUGUAAGAGAGAUGAC
rnacentral:rRNA from 1 species